rnacentral:rRNA from 1 species
UACGGAGGGUGCAAGCGUUGUUCGGAAUCACUGGGCGUAAAGGGCGUGUAGGCGGUCCGCUAAGUCUGAUGUGAAAGCCCGGGGCUCACCCCCGGAAGGGCAUUGGAAACUGGCGGACUCGAGUCCCGGAGAGGAAGGUGGAAUUCCUGGUGUAGCGGUGAAAUGCGUAGAGAUCAGGAGGAAUACCGGUGGCGAAGGCGGCCUUCUGGACGGUGACUGACGCUGAGACGCGAAAGAGUGGGGAGCAAACAGG